AUUUCUUCGGAAUGAAACCUGAUAUGACUUAGUGGCGAACGGGUGAGUAACGCGUGAGGAACCUGCCUUUCAGAGGGGGACAACAGUUGGAAACGACUGCUAAUACCGCAUGAUACGUUUUAGGGGCAUCCCUGAGACGUCAAAGAUUUAUCGCUGAAAGAUGGGCUCGCGUCUGAUUAGCUAGUUGGCGGGGUAACGGCCCACCAAGGCGACGAUCAGUAGCCGGACUGAGAGGUUGAACGGCCACAUUGGGACUGAGAUACGGCCCAGACUCC
rnacentral:rRNA from 1 species